UUGCUCUUACGCACCGCGCCGCGGCCGCCCAGCCCAAAUCGGAGUCGGAGAACGGCGUCUCAAACAUCAGCCGUCUCCCCGCCCGUCCUCCCUCAUCCGCUUCGUCGAGCUCCUCGUGAGCACCUUUCGCACGGCGACGACCUCAGGCCCUAGCUGCGCCAGGCCUUCGACACCUUCCAGCAUGAGAUAUCUGCUCUCCUCCACCAUGCGCCUUGUCUCCCUCUUCGACGCUUGGUGCUCAACUUCUUCGGACAUCCAUCGGUGCUGAUGGGAGGAGAGGGAGCCAGGACGACGCCCGAGCAGUUCAAGGAGCCUCCGGCGUGGGUCCCUUUCGAGUCCACCAUCUUCUACCAACCGUACGAGGUGCGGGAGCUGUUUGAGUCGGUAUACAAAAUUGCCAACUAAUGGCAGCUGCAAACAGUACGAAGAGGAGUGGUUUCGACCGGAAGCUUCACAAGCAGGCUGUGAUUCCGGAGGAUUCCUUCCCUCGCCGCCAGAAGCAGAAAACAGAGCAUGGAGCAAAAUCUGCCGAGCCAGCUCGAUGAGUUAAACCCCAGGUCAGUCGGUUAUUAAGUCUUCUCAAGCAUCUCAGGAGAAAAAGAAGCGAUGGAGGACUUGAACUUGCUAGAGAAGAAGCAACAGAUUGAGUCCUUUAUCUAUGAUCCCGUGGACAAGGUGGUUGUCCUCACAUUUUACUGUGGCGACGAUGCUCUCUCCCUCGAGCUCUAUCUCAUGAACCAGAUGUUGCAGAAAUUUCAAGUUUGGAUUCUGGUCUAUGGAAAUCAGCAAUUCCAGCAAUUCAUAGGAAGUCCAGGACUAAAUCAUGUAGUUUCUUGUAUGGAAUGCAAUACCAUUUGGUAAUGUGAUAGCAAGAACCUCCCUUUAGUCUGGCUAUGAUCAAAGAUCUCCCCAAAGCACAUGGUAUCAAGACACUGAUUUCAGGAAUCUCAAGAUUGGGUUUGUCACUGAUCAGAAACUAUGUAAACACUUGGCACGCAAUAGAUUACCUCUAUUCAUGCCCUAUGUACCCUAUACUCUUUAUCAUGCAAUGAACCACUUCACUUAUUGCUUCCCAACAGCUACACAUAUUCACUGAAAUGUGCCCACUAAUUUAGUAACCAAUGAACCUUGCUUAGCCCCAAAGAUCCAAUAGACCACUGCCUUGCUCUUUGACAGAAAUGUAGUAAAAACAGAAUUCAAAAAUCCUUGGUAGUAAAUACAUUUUACUGUUUCUUUAUAUUUGUAUGGAUGAAAAACAAACCAACCAACUCACAGCAAUUUAAGCACUUAAUCAUGUUCCAGCAGUUUCAGUAAAUCGUACAAAUGAAGAACUCUUGUCACUUCCAUAUAAUGCUCAAAAAUCAAAGAUCAACACUCAUGAAUCCAUCUAAAACAUUAAAGAUCUCCUAACAUAUAAUAUCUCUGUAUUUCACAUGACAGGAACUGGAUUUGAAAAGAUCGAUUCAGAAACAAAACUGAUUUCUGGGCAUCUGAUUUCUCAGAUUCCAAUUUCAGAAAUCUGAAUUUCAAGGAGUUUUGGUUUGAAUCAUGAAGAAUUGAGCUUAUCCAGGAAUCUCAUUUAACACUAAAUAAACAGGAUAUUGAACUCCCAACUAUGCUGAGCAGAAACAUCAAUCACAAUUGGCACCAAAAAACAUUCUCGGCCCUUCUCUGUUUACUUAUUUCAUAUUCAGUUUUUUUCAGCUCACUUCCUUGCAAUUGCCCACCACCUUAAAUCCGCACCCAUGAAAAACCAACUAAGUUUUUAAAAUCCUUGAGCAAUUGCAACCUUCCCCCCACACAUAAAAUUUUAUCCAUCUUGAAUACUUAUGAAUCAAAACAAAGUUCUGAAACAUCAACAGCUCCUUAAAACUGAGUUCACAGCUACUCAUAGAUUUUUUUAAGAUUGAGCAACAGAAAUCAGAUUGAUUCUGUGAGUUGUAGUGUUUUCAGUUGACAUUCAUUUCUUAAAGGGCUUGGGGGAGUGUGUACCCACAUUACAUAGGCAAAGACCCAAAUAGAAUUGAUGCACAAUUCAGACUUGAAUUCCCAAUUUCUGUCUUUCAUAGUUUCAGCCUUUCACAUAUUCGAAGCUCUCAAAUUCUUGUUUCUAAUUUUUAUCUCCCCAAUGUUUUGGUGGUUCUUAUAUCUUGAUUUGCUGUAGAAAUUUACUCAUCCUUGCAUGGUUAAAGGAGCAAACAAAAUUUGAUGUCAUAGCACAACACAAUUCUGAAUUCUGCACUUUAAAGUUCAGAUUCUGGAAAAUGAUUUCUUAAAUUCUAGAAGAGUGGCCUUGAUAUAAAUGAUAGCACCUCAAAUUGACAAUGCAAGAGUAGGAACCGCUGUUCAGAGUUCCUGAAUUCAGUUUCAGAAAUCACACUCCCUGGAUUAAGUUUCAACAUUUGAGAGAUAAGGUAAUUUUAACUCGAGUUGUAGAGAUCUCAAUUCAUCAUUGUCUCUCAUUUAGCACUGGAUUAAUAAGAAGUUGAAUUCCAAUUUCGGCUAUUCAGAAUCAACACAUUAACUUGGCACUAAAUAGGGCUUUGAGGAAAUACCUGCUGCAACCAAUUCCAGAAUCAUCUCUUGAAACUCAUACCAACCUGCUGAUUUCUGCACUGCAGUUUCCAGCAGAUUUUCUUCAAUUCAAGAUAAGUUUCUUCAGCAACUGCAAGGGAAAGAACAUAAUUUCAGAAACUCAGCUUGUCUUGAUACAUAUUCUUUGUAUCACUGUCUUGUUGCUCCAGAAUUUCAGCAAUGCUACCAUCAUCAAUUAAGAGGUCUCUAUAUGGAUUCGAUCUCUACAACUCAUGAAUUCAUAGCUCAAUCAAGGUUCGUGUUCUGGUCAAAAGUAUCAUGAACAUUUGCCUCGAACACCUUUCAGAUUCUAAGUUGCAGAAUUUUCUGAAUUCCUGUCAAUUUCUGUUUUCUGUUUGUGCGCCAUAUUUCUUCUGUCUCCACAAUAGCUCACUGAUGUCAACUAUACUUCCAUGACCUUCUUAACUUGAGAUGUAUCUCAACUACAAAGAUUCUCAUUUAGCACAAACUUCUUCCAGCAACUCCAAAUUCAGAAAUCAGAUCCAGUUUUUCUCUUUUCUUGUUCUGGUUUCAAUUCAAGAUCUCUCUUACAAUUUGUUGCAGCUUAGGAUCCACUCCUUGCAUAAAAAUGGGGAGAUACCCACAAUUAGCUCACAGUUUAAAAUUCUUCACAGCACAGCAAAGACAAUUCAGAUAUUGCACUUCCAGUAAUCAGGGCUCUUCACUCAGCAUGCAGAUUUCAGAUUCAUACUUUGCCCUUUUUGUUUCUAAUUCUCUCCUACACUAGCUUCUGUAGACAUUCAAAAAGAACGACUUUAUAGACAUGCAACUCUCUCAGAAACUAAGCUCAUCUCAUUGAAACAAUCCAACUAGCUCAGUACUCAUCAAUUCAGCUCCAAACAAAACAAUUCCAGUUUCUAAAAUUUCCAAAUCUCCUUUAAUAAAUUGUGCUUCUCAAUGGUAGAGCAUUCAGCUAAUCAACCAAGCUAUUCCACAAUUUAAAUUAACUGAAAGAUGGCAUGAAAAUUCUAUCUUAAAACAGCUUUAAUUAACUUCAAUCCUCCAACAAUGAAUUAAUUCCUCAAUAUCAAUAUUUCCAGUCAAGUUAAUCGGGAACCUCUAUGAACCUCAAACAUAUGCAUCACCCACACACUUAACCGAUUGGAGCUCUUUUUUAUUUGUGUAAAAUCUUGCAGCAAAUGACCCCUUUGUUAUGAAGGCGUGGGCAAAGACAUAUCCCGACAAUAAGCAUGUGAAAUUCCUAGCUGAUGGCUUUGCAAUCUACACCCAUGCUCUUGGCUUGGAAUUGGAUCUCGCAGAUAAAGGUUUGCUCUCCUUGUCGAUAACCUCGUGGUGAAGGUUGCAAACAUUGAAGGAGGAGCAUUCACCAUUUCCGAUGCAGAAGAGAUCCUCAAGUCCCUCUAAGAUCAUUAUGGUCACUGCAUUUGUGUGUUUGUACGUCAAGUAGUCUACUAGUUGUGUCACCCUAGCAAUGCUUUGUGGUGAAUCAUGACGUUUGACUGAUGCAGCUAUCGCUUAAAUACAGCUCUGUUUUUGAGCAACUGAA